rnacentral:rRNA from 1 species
ACGCACGCUGGCGGCGUGCUUAACACCUGCAAGUCGAACGGUGAAGCGCCUUCCUUUUUGGUGGGUGUGGAUGAGUGGCGAACGGGUGAGUAACACGUGAGUAACCUGCCCCCUUCUUCUGGAUAACCGCAUGAAAGUGUGGCUAAUACGGGAUAUUCUGGGUCUGUCGCAUGAUGGGUCUGGGAAAGAUAUUGUUUCGGUGGGGGAUGGGCUCGCGGCCUAUCAGCUUGUUGGGGGGGUGAUGGCCUACCAAGGCGGUGACGGGUAGCCGGCCUGAGAGGGUGGACGGUCACACGGGGACUGAGACACGGCCCAGACUCCUACGGGAGGCAGCAGGGGGGAAUAUUGCACAAUGGGCGCAAGCCUGAUGCAGCGACGCCGCGGGAGGGAGGGAGGCCUGCGGGUUGUGAACCUCUUUCGCCAGUGAAGCAGGCCUGCCUCGUUUGUGGGUGGGUUGACGGUAGCUGGAUAAGAAGCGCCGGCUAACUACGUG